UACGUAGGUGGCAAGCGUUGUCCGGAAUUAUUGGGCGUAAAGCGCGCGCAGGCGGUUCUUUAAGUCUGAUGUGAAAGCCCACGGCUCAACCGUGGAGGGUCAUUGGAAACUGGAGAACUUGAGUACAGAAGAGGAAAGCGGAAUUCCACGUGUAGCGGUGAAAUGCGUAGAGAUGUGGAGGAACACCAGUGGCGAAGGCGGCUUUCUGGUCUGUAACUGACGCUGAGGCGCGAAAAGCGUGGGGAGCAAACAGG
rnacentral:rRNA from 1 species